rnacentral:rRNA from 1 species
CAAGUCGAGCGGAUUUUUGGGAGCUUGCUCCCAAAAUCAGCGGCGGACGGGUGAGUAACACGUGGGCAACCUGCCUGUAAGACUGGGAUAACUUCGGGAAACCGGAGCUAAUACCGGAUAGGUUCUUCCCUCACAUGAGGGAAGAUGGAAAGACGGUUUCGGCUGUCACUUACAGAUGGGCCCGCGGCGCAUUAGCUAGUUGGUGAGGUAACGGCUCACCAAGGCGACGAUGCGUAGCCGACCUGAGAGGGUGAUCGGCCACACUGGGACUGAGACACGGCCCAGACUCCUACGGGAGGCAGCAGUAGGGAAUCUUCCGCAAUGGACGAAAGUCUGACGGAGCAACGCCGCGUGAGCGAAGAAGGCCUUCGGGUCGUAAAGCUCUGUUA